rnacentral:rRNA from 1 species
GUAGACGAGCUGAUCAGCCAUGCCGCGUGCAGUGAUGACGGCCCUAUGGGUUGUAAACUGCUUUUGUACGGAAGAAACCCGCCUACGUGUAGGUGGCUGACGGGACCGUUACGAAUAAAGCCCGGCUAACUCCACUGCCAGCAGCCCGGGUAAUACGGAAGGACCGAGCGUUAUCCGGAAUCAUUGGGUUUAAAGGGUCCGAAGGGGGGCCGUUAAGUUCAGGGUGAAAGUCUGCGGCUCAACCGUAAAAUUGGCUUUGAUACUGGGGGUCUUGAAUUCAUGGUGGAGGUCGCCGGAACAUGUGGUGUAGCGUAUGAAAUGCAUAGAUAUCACAUAGAACACCGAUCGCGAAGGGCACGUGAACAACCAUGAACUGACGCUGAUGACACGAAAGCGUGGCGUAGCGAAACGGGAUUAGAUACCCCGGUAGUCCACGCCGUAAAACGAUGGAUACUAGCUGUGGCGCACUUUAUUGUCUCCGUGGCCCCGCGAGAGUGAUAUGUAUCCCACGUGGGAGAGUACGACCGCUGGUGUAACUCUCAAAGUGUAUGUGACGGG